GAUGAACGCUGGCGGCGUGCCUAAUACAUGCAAGUCGAGCGAACAGACGAGGAGCUUGCUCCUCUGACGUUAGCGGCGGACGGGUGAGUAACACGUGGAUAACCUACCUAUAAGACUGGGAUAACUUCGGGAAACCGGAGCUAAUACCGGAUAAUAUAUUGAACCGCAUGGUUCAAUAGUGAAAGACGGUUUUGCUGUUACUUAUAGAUGGAUCCGCGCCGCAUUAGCUAAUUGGUAAGGUAACGGCUUACCAAGGCAACGAUGCGUAGCCGACCUGAGAGGGUGAUCGGCCACACUGGAACUGAGACACGGUCCAGACUCCUACGGGAGGCAGCAGUAGGGAAUCUUCCGCAAUGGGCGAAAGCUUGACGGAGCAACGCCGCGUGAGUGAUGAAGGUCUUCGGAUCGUAAAACUCUGUUAUUAGGGAAGAACAAAUGUGUAAGUAACUAUGCACGUCUUGACGGUACCUAAUCAGAAAGCCACGGCUAACUACGUG
rnacentral:rRNA from 1 species